rnacentral:rRNA from 1 species
AUGAAAAUGGAGAGGACUAUCAUUAUUGAUUAUUCGAACCAGGCUUUAUUUCAGUUUGAGGAGGACUUCCAUGACACUGAACUUCAGAGGGAAGCCCUUUUAGUGAAGCAAGAAUUGAGCUUUGUCUUGCAACAGGAGGCCCCUGAUAGGAACAACCAACUUCUGGAAUGGCCCGAACAAGAGAAUAUUCAUGUUUCACCUCGGCGGUACUAUUUUAAAUUUGGCUUAGGUAUUAGUGUGUGCUCUAAUAUAGCUAAUACAAUAUUGUGUUUUUUUGUGACAGCAUGGACUCCGGAUUCAAAGUUUUACAGGAGAUGGCCCAUCUGUAUGAAACCAUCGGGAUGA